CUACGGGGGGCUGCAGUGAGGAAUAUUGGACAAUGGAGGAAACUCUGAUCCAGCCAUGCCGCGUGAGUGAAGAAGGCCUUAGGGUUGUAAAGCUCUUUCAAUAGUGAAGAUAAUGACGGUAGCUAUAGAAGAAGCUCCGGCUAAAUUCGUGCCAGCAGCCGCGGUAAUACGAAUGGAGCAAGCGUUGUUCGGAAUCACUGGGCUUAAAGCGUGCGCAGGCGGACUUGAAAGUCAGAAGUGAAAUCCCAGAGCUCAACUCUGGAACUGCUUUUGAAACUUCAUGUCUAGAAUCCGAUAGAGGUAAGGGGAAUUCCUAGUGUAGAGGUGAAAUUCGCAGAUAUUAGGAGGAACACCAGUGGCGUAGGCGCCUUACUGGGUCGGUAUUGACGCUCAUGUACGAAAGCGUGGGGAGCAAACAGGAUUAGAUACCCCCGUAGUC
rnacentral:rRNA from 1 species